UGGUUUAACAAUUAUGAAUUUAACAAUUAUGAUGAAUUUUUUUUUUUGUCUUUUUUCCUUUUUGUCUUUUUUUUUCCUCUUCUCUUUUUUCUCUUUUUCUCUUUUUGUAUUUUCUUUUUUUUUUUGGUAUGACAAUAGAUGGUUGGAUGGAUGAACUCCUGCGUACUGCCCUGGUUCACUGGAGCUCCCUGGUGGCAGGGGGGGGCUUGGGGGGCAGGGGAGGGGGAGGAGGACAGAAACCCAAUCAUAAAAUGGACCACUUCUGACUGAUCACCUGCGUGGGAUACUUCUGUGGCAGGGGAGGACCCAUGGAGGGGGGUGGGAAGAAGGUGGAAAAGGUGUUUAUGUAUGUACCAUCUUUUGUAAUUUGUAAAAACCAAUAAAAAUUAUGUUUAAAAAAAAAAAAAAAAAAUAAGUUCAUUUCAUGCCACUAUCUCAUAUGCAUGCAGAAAACAAAAGGCCUUCUUUCACUGGAUCCAGAUCUAAGGCUCUUCUUCUGUACAAAUUUUCUAGGAAGUGCCAAACUUGGAUACAACAGUUGACCUUCCAUUGUCGCCACUAACGUUCUCCAUGUGUGUGCAAGUUUGCCAGUCUCUGUGAAACUCACAUAAAGAGAACCGACUCAGCACCAUUGUUCUAUUAGUUUGAUGUCUGCCCUCUGUCUAUACACAGACAUUUCUGGGAUAUAGGAAUGCAGCAGGCCCCUGUGUAUACCUCCUUUUGUAUAAAGUGUUGCUCCACCAGUGCCAAGAUAAAUGCCAGGAUCCCUUAAGGUAUUGGGAGAGAGUACCAGCUUGAUUUUGCAUAUGAUCUUCUCUCUUACUGAACAACUACAGUGGUACCUCUGGAUACAUACCUGAUCCGUUCUGGGGUGCCGUUCUCACCCUGAAAAGUAUGUAUCCGGAGUGGCGCUUCUGCGCAUGCGUGCGCGGCGGAACCCAGAAGUAAACACUUCCAGGUCCGCUGCGUACUUGAGCUGAAAAUACGCAACCUGAAGCGGACGCAACCAGAGGUAUGACUGUGCUUGGAUUGCUUGUGCAGUUGACUGGGGCCUGGACACAAUGGAGUCAAUUAGUCAUCUGCCUUCUCAAGCCUGAUUCAUGCCACCAUUUUCAGGUGUGAAAUGUGGGUUGAGUGAAUGCAGCUUGUAUGCUGUGCUCUGACCUGCUAAUGAAGUUGGUUACAUGAUUUAGGCACCAUUGGACAACCUGCCUGUAAAUCAGUCAAUCAUGAUAUCUGUCUAUAGUGAUGUAACAAAGACAGUUGCUUCACAAAAGGCAGAGAAGUAAAGAAAUUUAAAAAUUAGAAUUGACCUUGUCAAAAGAUGAUUAUGUGAACCAGUCCCUCUGAGUACCAAUGUGGAGAGAAGGCUCCUGGGUCAUUUAUUGGUGUAGAAGACAAAACUUCCAACAGAUGAGCUUCCCUCUUUCCUGAAUGAUAUGCUCCAUGUGCCAGAUUCUUGCUUCCUAUCCUCCUUUGCAUCUAGUCGUGAUACAGCUAUAGGAUCACUUCCAUAACAAUAAUGGUAGUUCUGACUAAACAAGGAAACUGUUUUAAUAUGGUUAAAUCUUUCCAAAUGGGCUUCCCCAAGUAUUGUUAAUUCUCCUGAGAACAAAUGACUUCAUUGUCUUAAAUAGAGUGCAGUAUUUUGCAGAGAAUACAAGUGACAAAUAUCAAGCAGUCAGGCUUUAAAAUUGCAGGGAAAAGUGGGUAGGUAAAAACCUAUUCUUAAAACUAAAUGGAAGACUUGAGAACAGAAUUAAAAUGUGACAGCAGGUGGCUGAAGAACAGAAUUGUGUUGGACUUUGUCAGCAAAAAUUUGAUUUUUCCUUAUCUCCUCCUAUUGGCAAUAGCAGAAACAGAAGAUGCUUCCAUUUUAUGGUUUUGUUUUUUUAAAAAAAUGUUGUUAAAGGUACUUUUCUAUUGUAAUUUUCUAAAAAUAAAGAAACAAUGAUUAUAACUUAUGCCUAAACAACAGUGGCCUCUGUUACAGUGUCUGCUUAUCUGAUUACCUCUGUUUGAGGAAAUACAAGUUGUCUAUGAUAAUAGCUUUCUAGGUGUGUUGAUCCUGCUAGUGAUCUCUGUGUGAGGUCAGGGUGUGUAACCUCUCAUAGUAUCAAGGAAACAGGAUUUAAAACACUAACAAAAAUCCGCAUCUCUGCCUGGAUCAUGCAGGCAUCUGUAAUACAUUGCCAUCCCUUUGCUUGGUAGUUCCCACAUGCUGCAGUGUUGAGUAAACUAUUUUAAAAACUAAUUAUUUAAGCAGACACCAGGUAAGAAUAAACCUAAUUCUCAGGUCUGCGGUGAUUAGUCUGUGAAUAAUAAUAAUAAUAAUAAUAAUAAUAAUAAUAAUAAUAAUCUUAUUAUUUAUACUUCACCCAUCUGGCUGGGUUGCCCAGCUUCCAGGCCACAUGCGGUAAAUACAUAAUAAAAACUUCCUGACACAGGGCUGCCUUCAGAUGUCUUCUAAAAGUUGUCUUCAGCCCUCUGCCUGAAAUAAUCUCUUGCCCAGCUUCAAAGUUACCUGCUUGAGGAAUAUAUCUGAAUUUGAAGCAAGCUUAGAAUCCUGGAUAAUUAACAAUUCUUGUCUCACCUCAGGUUCUUCUUGGUAACUGCUUAUGUUAAACAUGGUCCAUCUUGGGCAUGCAAAGGUAGCUGGAAAUCCAGUUAGCAUGAGCACAGAUUGGGGAAUGGGCCAAGAUAUUGAGAACAGGGUAACUACUUUUCAGACUCCUGCCAUGAAAAAACAGUAUGUUGUUUAUUCAUUCAGAUAGGUCUGAUUAAGUCACUAAGGCUCGUAUUGUUAAGAUCUUUAUAAAGGAGCUCUUUAAAUCAAUGGAACUGAAGAGAAAGCUAUAGGUUAUUGGUUGGUCUUACCACUAUCCCAAACUCUAUCCAGAUUUAUAUACGUUGAUGGCCGGUUUUUUUGUUGCGUAAGAAAUAAUCAUCUGCUUCAAUAUCUCUUGGCAACAGUGCGCUACAAAAACUAGGGCUAUACAACCUGCUUUGAGUGCUCAGCAAACAACCCAAGCAAAUAUUCGGCUGUUUUAUCUCCCCAUCCCCAUAUGCUCCCUGGUCACCCAUGUUGUAAACUAAGGCUGCAAUCCUGUAUUUACUUACCUAGGAGUACCUAUGUCUACUCAGAGGUAUUUGGGUGAUCCUUUUAAGGCUUGCUGGUCAUGGCAAGGGCUAUUUGGUGAAGCCAAGUAAAGGCAAAUAGAUCUCAGGCCCACUGAAAAUUCCAACUAAGAAUGAAGGACCCAAGAUCAUGAGAACAGCAUCCUUAGAAUGCCACAAUGUUAAAACAUCUGCCCAUCCACAAAUGGAUAAAACAUUAUUUCCAGAAAAAAUGUCAGGACUGCAUUGCAUGUUAAUAAAUUGGUGAAAUGUUCACCGCAAACAAGGGGGAAGUGAGCAUGGCUCAUAGUACAGGGGGGAAAUGAAUAACUUAAAUGGAAAAUCCUACUGAUAACUGGUGCUCAUGGAAACAAAUGGGUGCAGAAUAGGCAUCUAAUAGAUAUGUGAAGCCACACAAAACCUGCUAAAUAAGCAGGAAUUGUCACAGGGCAAUGAGCUGCAAUGCACAUGUGCAAUGCUUGAGUCUCCAUUAUUGCUCACCUCUACAAUUUCCUUUGACCCCCUUUCAUUCAUGGUGGGCACCAGCAUGAUCUUAUCAACUCAACAUUCUCGACAGCUUUCUGCCUAGGUAUCAUUGUCAAACUAUACUGCAGAAUCAUCAAUAGGAAUCAGUGCCUGAAUCUCUCAUGAACUUGUCUGAUUUUACAUCUCUCAACCGUGAGACUUAACGGCGGCCACAUUUAGUUUGGUGGGUCACAAAUACAGGAAGCCAGCCUAAUGGAACUUGGAACAAGUCAAUAGCAGUGCAGUGCUGGCAUAGCUGAAGUCAACCACUUCAUCUCCCACCUCCCAACACACCUAUUUCACUCCCUUGAUGUGUUACAGAUGAUACAUAUGCUCCCCUCCUAAAGCAGUUUAAGAGGCUGGAAGCUAGCUGAGGAAUGAGCAUUCCUUACACAUAUGUUACUUCCUUCUCAGGUGUGAAUUUUCUCUUCCCAUCUUAAUAAUAGUUACUGUUAAUGAAACUUCCAAUUUAUAGCUUCUGAAACCAAGAGGUAACCUGUUGUACCAGGCACUGCUAAUAGUAGAAAGAAGAAUUCUAACUUGACUGGAGGCAUCUGUUGGUGAAAAACACCUAUUUUUAAUCAAGCCAAGGAUAUGCCUGCUGCUAGUCUCUAGGCAACAGCAGCACACCAAGGAAUCCGAUCCAGCAUAUUAGCAGCUACCUCCGUGUGAGCCAUUCAACUGUAAGUAAUUGGAUGUCACUGCCAUCACUAUCUCCAUGGUUAUCCCUAACCUCGAAUCCCUUUCCAUCAGCAAGCAACAAGAGCUUGCCACUCCCCUGUGUCAUACCACCAUCUGCCUGCACUUAUAGAAAGUGACAGGGAAAGCCAAAUGGGCAUUCUUUACACAAUUUGUCUAAGCUCACUUGCCUUUUUCUCCUCCGUUCUCUAAAAGCCUGGAAGGAUUGUGAUGAAUUAUAGAUCAAAUGCAUUACAAACUACUUCAUGUCAGUUCUCUCAGGCAACCAUGCAAAAUCCUGCUGCUACUUCCUUUUUAUUCUGCUUUCCCUUCCCCCCCUCCCUUGCCUAUAGUUAUAAAUAUCAGGGGAGGAAAUAAAAUUACCCUUCUGUUACACCAAUUUGUACAGCAGCAUCAAACAGAUCUGUAUUUGUAUUGCCGACCCAAUAAACUUCCAAAAUUACACUCUCAAUUUGUGAUGCCCAAGCUUUUAAGGGUGGCUAGGGACAGACAGCAAGUUGAAUCUAUGAUUUAACAGCUUUGUUGGUUGUAGACCUCUAGGCCCAGUUUUUAACAUUCAAAGCUAAAUGGGUUGGGUCCUUUGUACCUCAAAGAAUACAUGCCCGAUACAAGCCUCUCCUUUACUGCAAGUUCAUUUGAAGAGGCAUUACUGCACAUGUCAAUUCCUUAUCUAAGGUCAGAAUUGGCAGUGGCACUACCCUCAAUCUCAACUGCAAACACCAUUGCAAGAACGGACAGGCUUUGCCUCACUGUCUUACAGGUUUUCUAGAUUGAGAAACACACUCUUUAUUCAUUUUAAUUAUUAAACUUAGGGCGGAGGAUUAAGCAAAAUACUCCUACCUUCAUAUAUUUCUGUUUCCCACACAGCCGACAGGCAGAACAGGCAAGAUGUUCCUGAUCACUCCAUAACUGCUGUAGGUCAGAUUAUUAGGUGGAGAAGAGACCAAGCUCUUCUGAGAAAGUCACACACAAUAUCCUAAAUCUUAAAAUACUACGGUGAAAUAAUUCAGUUUUAAACUGCAAAUAAUACAGAGUGAAGGAACAGACUUUCGUUAAAUUAGUAUCUUGGUUCUCAAAAUAGGAGAAUGCCUGCUUUCUGAAGAGUGUAUAAAAUUGCUAGAGAAGGCAAGAACACCUGAUUCCCAACCUUCCGUACAGAAAGUUUUUAUUUGAGUCCUGAGGUGGGUCAAUGAAUUUUUUAGAAAAAGAAAA